rnacentral:ncRNA from 1 species
GGGGAAGCCGGUGCGAUUCCGGCACUGACCCGCAACCGUGAGCCGCGCCGUUCGACCGGCGCGGCGCAGUCGGACUGCCC